rnacentral:misc_RNA from 1 species
AAGUCGUAACAAGGUUUCCGUAGGUGAACCUGCGGAAGGAUCAUUAACACGUAUCCAAACGUUAAACCCCCCUGUGAACCUUCACCUGUACUCGUACGUCCGUUAGAAAAAGCAGCAAUCCCUGGUAAAUCAUCGCCGAACAGUUUUCGAUUCAGGGAUGUCUGCAAGGAGCGUGCAUGUUGUGCGAGCAAGUGGCCUGGCAUCCCCAAGCAGUUAGUGUCUGAAAGUGUCAUUAACUGUGUAAGGAUGACGCAGUCACGAUCGUUGGAGGCCCACACGGCCGACGACCGGGUCACUGGGCGCAAGCCCCCCUGCCGCGAUAAUACGCAGUCGACCAAAAACCGAACAACUGUUAACAAUGGAUAUCUUGGUUCUC